GACGAACGCUGGCGGCGUGCCUAAUACAUGCAAGUUGAGCGAUGAAGAUUGGUGCUUGCACCCAUUUGAAGAGCAGCGAACGGGUGAGUAACGCGUGGGGAAUCUGCCUUUGAGCGGGGGACAACAUUUGGAAACGAAUGCUAAUACCGCAUAACAACUUUAAACAUAAGUUUUAAGUUUGAAAGAUGCAAUUGCAUCACUCAAAGAUGAUCCCGCGUUGUAUUAGCUAGUUGGUGAGGUAAAGGCUCACCAAGGCGAUGAUACAUAGCCGACCUGAGAGGGUGAUCGGCCACAUUGGGACGGAGACAAGGCCCAAACUCCUACGGGAGGCAGCAGUAGGGAAUCUUCGGCAAUGGACGAAAGUCUGACCGAGCAACGCCGCGUGAGUGAAGAAGGUUUUCGGAUCGUAAAACUCUGUUGGUAGAGAAGAACGUUGGUGAGAGUGGAAAGCUCAUCAAGUGACGGUAACUACCCAGAAAGGGACGGCUAACUACGUG
rnacentral:rRNA from 1 species